UGAUAGCUAAAAAUUCUUGUUUGCCAGACUAACAAAUAAUAUUUAAUUUCCACAUUGAAACUUUCACUAAGAAAAAAUGGAAUCUGUCAGCCACGUAAGUAUAUGGCAAAUCCCCAAAAGCAUUCAAAAUCAACAUGAACAGAGAAUCUC